CUUCAGCCGCACCCAACCCCCAUCUCCAUCUAUGCCUCGUCCCAGCCACCCUAAACCCGCCGAAAAUUGCAAAGCCCGGCGUCCCACGUACGCCCUGGUCCCCCCAUGGUCCCUCUCUCAUCUUCUCCUUCCCUGGUCCCCCAUGGUCCCCUCUCUCAUCUUCUCCUUCCUUCACGUAGCAAUGAUAACAAACUCAGAAUAUUCUCUAAUGAUUUCGCCCAAAUCGAAUCCGUCAUCCCUCUCACGCGCUUUAGCUUUCUUGGACAAAUCUCGGAUAAAUUGGAGCGGUCGGAUGUGAGCGAAAACGGAUCCACGCCUUCCAUUUUUUCGAUUUUUGUUUUAAUGAAAAGUUUUCGGGAGUUUUCAGUUUUGACGUUAUUUUGGGGAUAAUUUUGGAAUUUCUUGGAAAAGAAGCAAAAUGAAGCUUCUAGGAUCCCUAUAUAUUUGGGAUUUUCGGACAGAGAAAGGGGGUUCACGGAAAAUUUGGAGAGAAGUUGAGGAAAAACUCGGGUUUAAUUUUGAACUCGAGAGACCUUCUUUUGGUUUUUACUACUUCGUUUACUUCAAAAGUCAACAAAAUUAUAGAUCAAAAAAGAUAGCUUGAGCUUGGUUUUUUGUUCAAGUUUGGUUUUCCAUUUUUAAAAAAUCAGAAAAAGAGGUACUGAAAACACUUCUGUUUCCUGGCUUUUCGAUUUUCGGAUUUAUCUUGCAAAAAUGGAGUUCGUUUGAGUGAAGUCCGUCGCUAUUGUUGCUCAUUGUUCGAGUUCUGACCGUGACUGCCAUUUCAUCUUUGUUCGUGUUACGGCUGUAUUUUAUUUGUUAAUCGAAAGCAAUUUCAGAUGAAUUGAAGAUGAAAGCAGAGCAAAAGGGAUACUUAAACGCUGAAAGUGUGCUCGAGAGUAGUAAGAAAGAGAGGCCAGGUAAAGGCCAACUCAAUCAGGCUUUAGCCUAGCGAGGGCAGCCAAAAGCCAGGCUGAACUAGGCUUUAACCUGGCGAGGCCAGGCUGAACCAGGCUUUAGCCUGGCGAGGCCAGACUGAGGCUGGCGUUAGGCUGGCGGCGCCAGGCCUGGUCCCAGGUGCAGUCUGCGUUUUGAAGGCUUAUUUCAUCUCCUGAUUUGACUACGACUUGGCCUACACAUAUAAAUAGACCUAAAAACGUCGGUUUUGACAGACUUUAGACCUAGGGAGAGCACGGAGCCGCCGUGGAGACCGAGAAGAGAGAUUGAGAUUGGACAGAUUUGGGAGGGGAUUCGACCUAAGGAGGCAAGAACACACUAGGAGCAAGACGGAGAAUUCUUCUACGAGUUUUUCACUUCAUUCUUCCUAUUUCCAUUAUUGGUUAUGAAUUCUAGUAUUGUAGUUAUGCAUACUAUUAUGAAUAGCUAAUUUGUUAUCUAGGGUUUUGAUGGAACCUAUUGGAAGAUGAAUUUCCUGUUAUAUUAAUAUAGAUUUGUUGUAGUA